rnacentral:rRNA from 1 species
GAGUUUGAUCCUGGCUCAGAACGAACGCUGGCGGCGUGCCUAACACAUGCGAGUCGAACGGAUUUGAGGAGCUUGCUUCUCAAGUUAGUGGCGCACGGGUGAGUAACGCGUAGAUAAUCUGCCUGAUGAUCUGGGAUAACACUUCGAAAGGGGUGCUAAUACCGGAUAAGCCUACGGUCUCUUCGGAGUCUGCAGGAAAAGGUGGCCUCUAUUUAUAAGCUACCGUAUCAGGAUGAGUCCGCGUACCAUUAGCUAGUUGGUGGGGUAAUGGCCCACCAAGGCUACGAUGGUUAGCUGGUCUGARAGGAUGAUCAGCCACACUGGAACUGAGACACGGUCCAGACUCCUACGGGAGGCAGCAGUGGGGAAUUUUGCGCAAUGGGGGAAACCCUGACGCAGCAACGCCGCGUGAGUGAUGAAGGCUUUCGGGUCGUAAAGCUCUGUCAGAGGGGAAGAAAUGAGCCUGGCUAAUAUCCAGGUUUCUUGACGGUACCCUCAAAGGAAGCACCGGCUAACUCCGUGCCAGCAGCCGCGGUAAUAC